GUAAGCCUACGGGGGGCAGCAGUGGGGAAUAUUGCACAAUGGGGGAAACCCUGAUGCAGCGACGCCGCGUGAGUGAAGAAGUAUUUCGGUAUGUAAAGCUCUAUCAGCAGGAACGAGACAAGACGGUACCUGACUAAGAAGCCCCGGCUAACUACGUGCCAGCAGCCGCGGUAAUACGUAGGGGGCAAGCGUUAUCCGGAAUCACUGGGUGUAAAGGGAGCGUAGACGGCUGAGCAAGCCUGAAGUGAGAGCCCGUGGCUCAACCGCGGAACUGCUUUGGAAACUGUAUAGCUUGAGUACUGGAG
rnacentral:rRNA from 1 species